AUUGAACGCUGGCGGCAUGCUUUACACAUGCAAGUCGAACGGUAGCAGGCCGCAAGGUGCUGACGAGUGGCGAACGGGUGAGUAAUGCAUCGGAACGUGCCCAGGCGUGGGGGAUAACUACUCGAAAGAGUAGCUAAUACCGCAUACGAUCUAUGGAUGAAAGCGGGGGACCGUAAGGCCUCGCGCGAUUGGAGCGGCCGAUGUCAGAUUAGGUAGUUGGUGGGGUAAAGGCUCACCAAGCCAACGAUCUGUAGCUGGUCUGAGAGGACGACCAGCCACACUGGGACUGAGACACGGCCCAGACUCCUACGGGAGGCAGCAGUGGGGAAUUUUGGACAAUGGGCGCAAGCCUGAUCCAGCAAUGCCGCGUGCAGGAAGAAGGCCUUCGGGUUGUAAACUGCUUUUGUACGGAACGAAACGGCUCUGGUUAAUACCCGGGGCUAAUGACGGUACCGUAAGAAUAAGCACCGGCUAACUACGUG
rnacentral:rRNA from 1 species